GAUCAGUAGCCGGACUGAGAGGUUGAACGGCCACAUUGGGACUGAGACACGGCCCAGACUCCUACGGGAGGCAGCAGUGGGGGAUAUUGCACAAUGGGGGAAACCCUGAUGCAGCGAUGCCGCGUGGAGGAAGAAGGUUUUCGGAUUGUAAACUCCUGUCGUAAGGGAAGAGAAAGGACUGUACCUUACAAGAGAGCUCCGGCUAACUACGUGCCAGCAGCCGCGGUAAUACGUAGGGAGCGAGCGUUGUCCGGAAUGACUGGGCGUAAAGGGAGCGUAGGCGGGAUGGCAAGUCAGAUGUGAAACCUGAGGGCUCAACCUUCAGACUGCAUUUGAAACUGCUGUUCUUGAGUGAAGUAGAGGUAAGCGGAAUUCCUGGUGUAGCGGUGAAAUGCGUAGAGAUCAGGAGGAACAUCGGUGGCGAAGGCGGCUUACUGGGCUUUUACUGACGCUGAGGCUCGAAAGCGUGGGGAGCAAACAGGAUUAGAUACCCUGGUAGUCCACGCUGUAAACGAUGAUUACUAGGUGUGGGGGGAUUGACCCCUUCCGUGCCGCAGUUAACACAAUAAGUAAUCCACCUGGGGAGUACGACCGCAAGGUUGAAACUCAAAGGAAUUGACGGGGGCCCGCACAAGCAGUGGAGUAUGUGGUUUAAUUCGAAGCAACGCGAAGAACCUUACCAGGUCUUGACAUCGAGUGACGUAUCCAGAGAUGGAUAUUUCCUUCGGGACACAAAGACAGGUGGUGCAUGGUUGUCGUCAGCUCGUGUCGUGAGAUGUUGGGUUAAGUCCCGCAACGAGCGCAACCCUUAUCAUUAGUUGCUACGCAAGAGCACUCUAAUGAGACUGCCGUUGACAAAACGGAGGAAGGUGGGGAUGACGUCAAAUCAUCAUGCCCCUUAUGACCUGGGCUACACACGUACUACAAUGGCGAUCGAACAGAGGGAAGCAAGACAGCGAUGUGGAGCCAAUCCCAAAAAAUCGCCCCAGUUCAGAUUGCAGGCUGCAACUCGCCUGCAUGAAGUCGGAAUUGCUAGUAAUCACAGAUCAGCAUGCUGCGGUGAAUACGUUCCCGGGCCUUGUACACACCGCCCGUCACACCAUGGGAGUCGGUAACACCCAAAGCCGGUCGUCUAACCUUCGGGAGGACGCCGUCUAAGGUGGGAUUGAUGACUGGGGUGAAGUCGUAACAAGGUAGCCGUA
rnacentral:rRNA from 1 species